AGGACGAACGCUGGCGGCGUGCUUAACACAUGCAAGUCGAACGGAAAGGCCCGCUUGCGGGUACUCGAGUGGCGAACGGGUGAGUAACACGUGGGCAACCUGCCCUCAGCUUCGGGAUAACAUUUGGAAACAGGUGCUAAUACCGGAUAAUAACCUUUCAUCGCAUGGUGUGGGGUUCAAAGUUUUUCGGCUGGGGAUGGGCCCGCGGCCUAUCAGCUUGUUGGUGGGGUAAUGGCCUACCAAGGCGACGACGGGUAGCCGGCCUGAGAGGGCGACCGGCCACACUGGGACUGAGACACGGCCCAGACUCCUACGGGAGGCAGCAGUGGGGAAUAUUGCGCAAUGGGCGGAAGCCUGACGCAGCGACGCCGCGUGAGGGAUGACGGCCUUCGGGUUGUAAACCUCUUCAGCUCUGACGAAGCGCAAGUGACGGUAGGAGCAGAAGAAGCACCGGCCAACUACGUGCCAGCAGCCGC
rnacentral:rRNA from 1 species